rnacentral:rRNA from 1 species
CCUACGGGGGGCAGCAGUGGGGAAUAUUGGACAAUGGGGGCAACCCUGAUCCAGCCAUGCCGCGUGUGUGAAGAAGGCCCUCGGGUUGUAAAGCACUUUCAGUGAGGAAGAACGCCUGGUGGUUAAUACCCAUCAGGAAAGACAUCACUCACAGAAAAAGCACCGGCUAACUCCGUGCCAGCAGCCGCGGUAAUACGGAGGGUGCGAGCGUUAAUCGGAAUUACUGGGCGUAAAGCGCGCGUAGGUGGCUUGAUAAGCCGGUUGUGAAAGCCCCGGGCUCAACCUGGGAACGGCAUCCGGAACUGUCAAGCUAGAGUGCAGGAGAGGAAGGUAGAAUUCCCGGUGUAGCGGUGAAAUGCGUAGAGAUCGGGAGGAAUACCAGUGGCGAAGGCGGCCUUCUGGACUGACACUGACACUGAGGUGCGAAAGCGUGGGUAGCAAACAGGAUUAGAUACCCGUGUAGUC